CUGAGAUUUCUUGUCCCACUGAGGGUUUCAAGCCCCAGGUAGAAGUGUGCCCUGCCUGGUUACUGGGAAGCAUCAUCCACACUCAUGAGCCGACCCAGCCUGGGCCCUGUGGGCCAGCACGUACUCUUUUGUAAAGCACCUGUGACAAUGAAGGACAGAUGUAUCACCUUCAUGAUUGUGGUGAUGUCAACCUGAUCCCAGCAGUCACAGGUCACAAGGGAACGUCCCUGCUGAGGACAGUCCUUAGGAGGGUAGUUGGUCCAGGACCCACGCCUGCUUUCUUUGUUUUUCCUGAUCCUUCCCUGAGUCUGCUGGCACACAUUUCUGGAAACUUCUCUGGGGUCCAAGACUAGGAGGUUUCUCUAGGACCUCAUGGCCUUGCCACCUUUCUGAGCCUUCACAGAAUAUUUUCUUCCCACAGAUAAAAAAGGAGGCAGCUACUCUCAGGCUGCAAGCAGCGACAGUGCCCAGGGCUCUGAUGUCUCUCUCACGGCUUGUAAAGUGUGAGACAGCUGCCUUGUGUGGGACUGAGAGUCAUGAUUUAUCCACACCUUCUGUUUGUGACUUCAAGAACCCUGACUUCUCUUACUGCAAAGGCAUCUGAAUGUGUCUGUGUCCCUAUAGGCAUAGUGUGAGGAGGUGGGGAGACCAGCCCAGCGCCGUGUCCACCAUGACCCCCUUCCCCACGCACACCUGCAUUCCUUCCCCGGUCACCUUUCCUGUUCCAGAGACCUGGGGCUGGGAUGUCUCCAUCUCUGUCUCAACUUCAUGGUGCACUGAGCUGUAACUUCUUACUUUCCUAUUAAAAUUAGAAUGUGAAUGUAAUUUACUUCUUGAAAUUAUUUCCAUGAGACACUGAUGGGUUAAUUAAAGGAAAAGAUUCCUGAAAUUUGAGAGACAAAAUAAAUGGAAGACCUGAGAACCUUC